UACGGAGGGCGCGAGCGUUAAUCGGAAUUACUGGGCGUAAAGCGCGCGUAGGCUGUUGUGUAAGUUGGGGGUGAAAUCCCACGGCUCAACCGUGGAACAGCCCUUGAUACUGCGCGACUUGAAUCCGGGAGAGGGUGGUGGAAUUCCAGGUGUAGGAGUGAAAUCCGUAGAUAUCUGGAGGAACAUCAGUGGCGAAGGCGGCCACCUGGACCGGUAUUGACGCUGAGGCGCGAAAGCGUGGGGAGCAAACAGG
rnacentral:rRNA from 1 species